UUAAAGACUUUAGACAGCGCUUUAUCAAAAGCGCUGACUAAGGUCUAUAUUUAAAAGCGCUUUCAUUAUUUUCUUGGAACAUUUUCCGUGUUUUAUUUUAAUUUUAACCUUAGAUGACAGCGCUUUCAUUAUUUUCUUGGAACAUUUUCCGUGUUUUAUUUUAAUUUUAACCUUAGACAGCGCUUUCUUUUAAAAGCGCUGUCUAAGAUGCGCUGUUAAAAGUCAUUUUUGG
rnacentral:lncRNA from 1 species